rnacentral:rRNA from 1 species
GCUGAACGCUGGCUGCGUGCCUAACACAUGCAAUUCGAACUUCCGCACAUGAAGCUCGCUCCCCUGAUGUUAGCGGCUGACGGUUGAGUAACACUUCCAUAACCUCCCCAUUAGACUCGGUUAACUUCGGGAAAACGGUGCUCUUACUGGAUCAUAUUUUGAACCGCAUGGUUCAACUGCGAAUGCAGGUCUUGCUGUCCAUUAUUGAUGGCUCCGCGCUGCAUUCGCUAGUUGGUAAGGUAAAGGCUUACCAAGGCAACGAUGCGUAGCCGACCUGAGAGGGUGAUCGGCAACACUGGAACUGAGACACGGUCCAGACUCCUACGGGAGGCAGCAGUAGGGAAUAUUCCGCAAUGGGCGAAAGCCUGACGGAGCAACGCCGCGUGAGUGAUGAAGGUCUUCGGAUCGUAAAACUCUGUUAUUAGGGAAGAACAGAUGUGUAAGUAACUGUGCACAUCUUGACGGUACCUAAUCAGAAAGCCACGGCUAACUACGUG